rnacentral:hammerhead_ribozyme from 1 species
AUCCAGAUGAUUGGUCCCAAACAGGACGAAGUGCUCAUCCUGGAU